rnacentral:rRNA from 1 species
CUACGAGCGGCUGCAGUGGGGAAUAUUGGACAAUGGGGGAAACCCUGAUCCAGCAAUGCCGCGUGUGUGAAGAAGGCCUGCGGGUUGUAAAGCACUUUCGGUUGGGAGGACUGCUUCUAGCACUAAUAUUGUUGGAAGUUGACGUUACCUUCAGAAGAAGCACCGGCUAACUCCGUGCCAGCAGCCGCGGUAAUACGGAGGGUGCAAGCGUUAAUCGGAAUUACUGGGCGUAAAGCGCGCGUAGGCGGCUAGAUCAGUCGGGUGUGAAAGCCCCGGGCUUAACCUGGGAACUGCAUCCGAUACUGUCUAGCUUGAGUACAGGAGAGGAGAGUGGAAUUCCACAUGUAGCGGUGAAAUGCGUAGAUAUGUGGAGGAACACCAAUGGCGAAGGCAGCUCUCUGGCCUGAUACUGACGCUGAGAUGCGAAAGCGUGGGGAGCAAACAGGAUUAGAUACCCUCGUAGUC